rnacentral:tRNA from 1 species
GGCGCCGUAGUUCAAUGGAUAGAAUAGAAGUUUCCUAAACUUUUGAUACAGGUUCGAUUCCUGUCGGAGCCACUA